CGAUGUCCUGAAUUUGAUCUAACCUUUAGAUUAUGUCGGUAGAGUUCAAAACUCAUCAUCUUUUCAUGGAUAGAUAAUUUUUAUUGCUGGUAAUCAUGGUAUGAAGCUCCCACUGAUGUCAAGCAGCCGCACAAGCAUUCGGUCUCUACGGAUGGUCCACACAAAACCCCUCAGACCGAUCAACACUCCAUGGGAGUGCUAGCUCGCGCAGUCGGCUUCUGAUGGC
rnacentral:lncRNA from 1 species